rnacentral:piRNA from 1 species
UACUCAGCCUAAUGAGCAUACCCGCUAGAGU